rnacentral:rRNA from 1 species
GUGCCAGCAGCCGCGGUAAUACGUAGGGUGCAAGCGUUAAUCGGAAUUACUGGGCGUAAAGCGUGCGCAGGCGGUUUUGUAAGACAGUGGUGAAAUCCCCGGGCUCAACCUGGGAACUGCCAUUGUGACUGCAAGGCUAGAGUGCGGCAGAGGGGGGUGGAAUUCCGCGUGUAGCAGUGAAAUGCGUAGAUAUGCGGAGGAACACCGAUGGCGAAGGCAAUCCCCUGGGCCUGCACUGACGCUCAUGCACGAAAGCGUGGGGAGCAAACAGGAUUAGAUA